rnacentral:rRNA from 1 species
CGACCGCGUGGAGGAUGAAGGUCUUCGGAUUGUAAACUCCUGUCAGUGGGAAAAAGGGGAACGUGCUCAUACCACGUUUCAUUGAUUGUACCCGCAGAGGAAGCCCCGGCUAACUCUGUGCCAGCAGCCGCGGUAAUACAGAGGGGGCAAGCGUUAUUCGGAAUUAUUGGGCGUAAAGGGCGCGUAGGCGGCCCUUCAAGUGGUAGGUGAAAUCCCUCGGCUCAACCGAGGAGCUGCCCGCCAAACUGAAGAGCUUGAGUCCGGGAGAGGUGAGUGGAAUUCCCAGUGUAGCGGUGAAAUGCGUAGAUAUUGGGAGGAACACCAGUGGCGAAGGCGGCUCACUGGACCGGAACUGACGCUGAGGCGCGAAAGCGUGGGGAGCAAACGGGAUUAGAUACCCCGGUAGUCCACGCUGUAAACGAUGAGUGCUUGGUGUAGCGGGUAUCGACCCCUGCUGUGCCGAAGCUAACGCAUUAAGCACUCCGCCUGGGGAGUACGGUCGCAAGGCUG